UACGUAGGAGGCAAGCGUUGUCCGGAAUUACUGGGCGUAAAGCGCGUGUAGGUGGUGGGACAAGUCUGCUGUGAAAGCGCCUGGCUUAACCGGGCGAGGUCGGCGGAAACUGCCUCACUGGAGGACGGUAGAGGGGGGUGGAAUUCCCGGUGUAGUGGUGAAAUGCGUAGAGAUCGGGAGGAACACCUGUGGCGAAGGCGGCCCCCUGGGCCGGCCCUGACACUGAGACGCGAAGGCGUGGGGAGCGAACGGG
rnacentral:rRNA from 1 species